UACGAGGGGGGCAAGCGUUGUUCGGAAUUACUGGGCGUAAAGGGCGCGCAGGCGGCCUUAGAAGUCAGAUGUGAAAGCCCCGGGCUCAACCUGGGAAUGGCAUUUGAUACUCUGAGGCUGGAGUACGGGAGAGGAGAGUGGAAUUCCCAGUGUAGAGGUGAAAUUCGUAGAUAUUGGGAAGAACACCGGUGGCGAAGGCGGCUCUCUGGACCGUAACUGACGCUGAGGAGCGAAAGCGUGGGGAGCGAACAGG
rnacentral:rRNA from 1 species